rnacentral:rRNA from 1 species
GAUGAACGCUAGCUACAGGCUUAACACAUGCAAGUCGAGGGGCAGCAUGGUCUUAGCUUGCUAAGGCCGAUGGCGACCGGCGCACGGGUGAGUAACACGUAUCCAACCUGCCGUCUACUCUUGGACAGCCUUCUGAAAGGAAGAUUAAUACAAGAUGGCAUCAUGAGUCCGCAUGUUCACAUGAUUAAAGGUAUUCCGGUAGACGAUGGGGAUGCGUUCCAUUAGAUAGUAGGCGGGGUAACGGCCCACCUAGUCUUCGAUGGAUAGGGGUUCUGAGAGGAAGGUCCCCCACAUUGGAACUGGGACACGGUCCAAACUCCUACGGGAGGCAGCAGUGAGGAAGAUUGGUCAAGGGGCGCAGGCCUGAACCAGCCAAGUAGCGUGAAGGAUGACUGCCCUAUGGGUUGUAAACUUCUUUUAUAAAGGAAUAAAGUCGGGUAUGUAUACCCGUUUGCAUGUACUUUAUGAAUAAGGAUCGGCUAACUCCGUG